rnacentral:sRNA from 1 species
CGCUCCUCCUUCCUCCCUCCUCCUCCUCCCCCCUGCUCCUCCCCCAUCAUCUUCUCCAGAUGAAGUUCGCACUGGCACCUACCGUCAGCUCUUCCACCCUGAGCAACUCAUCACAGGCAAGGAAGAUGCUGCCAAUAACUAUGCCCGAGGGCACUACACCAUUGGCAAGGAGAUCAUUGACCUCGUGUUGGACCGAAUUCGCAAGCUGGCUGACCAGUGCACCGGUCUUCAGGGCUUCUUGGUUUUCCACAGCUUUGGUGGGGGAACUGGUUCUGGGUUCACCUCCCUGCUCAUGGAACGUCUCUCGGUUGAUUAUGGCAAGAAGUCCAAGCUGGAGUUCUCCAUUUACCCGGCGCCCCAGGUUUCCACAGCUGUAGUUGAGCCCUACAACUCCAUCCUCACCACCCACACCACCCUGGAGCACUCUGAUUGUGCCUUCAUGGUAGACAAUGAGGCCAUCUAUGACAUCUGUCGUAGAAACCUUGAUAUCGAGCGCCCAACCUACACUAACCUUAACCGCCUUAUUAGCCAGAUUGUGUCCUCCAUCACUGCUUCCCUGAGAUUUGAUGGAGCCCUGAAUGUUGACCUGACAGAAUUCCAGACCAACCUGGUGCCCUAUCCCCGCAUCCACUUCCCUCUGGCCACAUAUGCCCCUGUCAUCUCUGCUGAGAAAGCCUACCACGAACAGCUUACUGUAGCAGAGAUCACCAAUGCUUGCUUUGAGCCAGCCAACCAGAUGGUGAAAUGUGACCCUCGGCAUGGUAAAUACAUGGCUUGCUGCCUGUUAUACCGUGGUGACGUGGUUCCCAAAGAUGUCAAUGCUGCCAUUGCCACCAUCAAAACCAAGCGUACCAUCCAGUUUGUGGAUUGGUGCCCCACUGGCUUCAAGGUUGGCAUCAACUACCAGCCUCCCACUGUGGUGCCUGGUGGAGACCUGGCCAAGGUACAGAGAGCUGUGUGCAUGCUGAGCAACACCACAGCUGUUGCCGAGGCCUGGGCUCGCCUGGACCACAAGUUUGACCUGAUGUAUGCCAAGCGUGCCUUUGUUCACUGGUAUGUGGGUGAGGGGAUGGAAGAAGGCGAGUUUUCAGAGGCCCGUGAGGACAUGGCUGCCCUUGAGAA